rnacentral:rRNA from 1 species
AUUGAACGCUGGCGGCAUGCCUUACACAUGCAAGUCGAACGGUAACGCGGGGCAACCUGGCGACGAGUGGCGAACGGGUGAGUAAAGUAUCGGAACGUGCCCAGUAGUGGGGGCUAGCCCGGCGAAAGCCGGACUAAUACCGCAUGAGACCUGAGGGUGAAAGCGGGGGAUCGCAAGACCUCGCGCUAUCGGAGCGGCCGAUAUCAGAUUAGGUAGUUGGUGGGGUAAAGGCCUACCAAGCCGACGAUCUGUAGCUGGUCUGAGAGGACGACCAGCCACACUGGGACUGAGACACGGCCCAGACUCCUACGGGAGGCAGCAGUGGGGAAUUUUGGACAAUGGGCGCAAGCCUGAUCCAGCCAUGCCGCGUGCGGGAAGAAGGCCUUCGGGUUGUAAACCGCUUUUGUCAGGGAAGAAAUCUUCUGGGCUAAUACCUCGGGAGGAUGACGGUACCUGAAGAAUAAGCACCGGCUAACUACGUGCCAGCCGCCGCGGUAAUAC